AUUGAACGCUGGCGGCAUGCCUUACACAUGCAAGUCGAACGGCAGCACGGGAGCAAUCCUGGUGGCGAGUGGCGAACGGGUGAGUAAUAUAUCGGAACGUGCCCAGUCGUGGGGAUAACGUAGCGAAAGCUACGCUAAUACCGCAUACUAUCUAUGGAUGAAAGCGGGGGAUCGCAAGACCUCGCGCGAUUGGAGCGGCCGAUAUCAGAUUAGGUAGUUGGUGAGGUAAAGGCUCACCAAAGCCGACGAUCUGUAGCUGGUCUGAGAGGACGACCAGCCACACUGGGACUGAGACACGGCCCAGACUCCUACGGGAGGCAGCAGUGGGAAUUUUGGACAAUGGCGCAAGCCUGAUCCAGCAAUGCCGCGUGCAGGAUGAA
rnacentral:rRNA from 1 species